ACUACGGGAGGCAGCAGUGAGGAAUAUUGGUCAAUGGACGAGAGUCUGAACCAGCCAAGUAGCGUGAAGGAUGACUGCCCUAUGGGUUGUAAACUUCUUUUAUAAAGGAAUAAAACGAGUCACGUGUGCCUUUUUGCAUUUACUUUAUGAAUAAGGAUCGGCUAACUCAGGGCCAGCAGCCGCGGUAAUACGGAGGAUCCGAGCGUUAUCCGGAUUUAUUGGGUUUAAAGGGAGCGUAGACCGGUUGUUAAGUCAGUUGUGAAAGGUUGCGGCUCAACCGUAAAAUUGCAAUUGAUACUGGCAGUCUUGAGUACAGUUGAGGUAGGCGGAAUUCGGGGUGUAGCGGUGAAAUGCUUAGAUAUCACGAAGAACCCCGAUUGCGAAGGCAGCUUACUAAACUGUGACUGACAUUGAUGCUCGAAAGUGUGGGUAUCAAACAGGAUUAGAUACCCUUGUAGUC
rnacentral:rRNA from 1 species